CGAGCGAACUGAUUAGAAGCUUGCUUUCUAUGACGUUAGCGGCGGACGGGUGAGUAACACGUGGGCAACCUGCCUGUAAGACUGGGAUAACUUCGGGAAACCGAAGCUAAUACCGGAUAGGAUCUUCUCCUUCAUGGGAGAUGAUUGAAAGAUGGUUUCGGCUAUCACUUACAGAUGGGCCCGCGGUGCAUUAGCUAGUUGGUGAGGUAACGGCUCACCAAGGCAACGAUGCAUAGCCGACCUGAGAGGGUGAUCGGCCACACUGGGACUGAGACACGGCCCAGACUCCUACGGGAGGCAGCAGUAGGGAAUCUUCCGCAAUGGACGAAAGUCUGACGGAGCAACGCCGCGUGAGUGAUGAAGGCUUUCGGGUCGUAAAACUCUGUUGUUAGGGAAGAACAAGUACAAGAGUAACUGCUUGUACCUUGACGGUACCUAACCAGAAAGCCACGGCUAACUACGUGCCAGCAGCCGCGGUAAUACGUAGGUGGCAAGCGUUAUCCGGAAUUAUUGGGCGUAAAGCGCGCGCAGGCGGUUUCUUAAGUCUGAUGUGAAAGCCCACGGCUCAACCGUGGAGGGUCAUUGGAAACUGGGGAACUUGAGUGCAGAAGAGAAAAGCGGAAUUCCACGUGUAGCGGUGAAAUGCGUAGAGAUGUGGAGGAACACCAGUGGCGAAGGCGGCUUUUUGGUCUGUAACUGACGCUGAGGCGCGAAAGCGUGGGGAGCAAACAGGAUUAGAUACCCUGGUAGUCCACGCCGUAAACGAUGAGUGCUAAGUGUUAGAGGGUUUCCGCCCUUUAGUGCUGCAGCUAACGCAUUAAGCACUCCGCCUGGGGAGUACGUCGCAAGACUGAAACUCAAGGAAUUGACGGGGGCCCGCACAAGCGGUGGAGCAUGGUGGUUUAAUUCGAAGCAACGCGAGACCUUACCAGUCUUGACAUCCUCUGACACUCUAGAGAUAGAGCGUUCCCCUUCGGGGGACAGAGUGACAGGUGGUGCAUGGUUGUCGUCAGCUCGUGUCGUGAGAUGUUGGGUUAAGUCCCGCAACGAGCGCAACCCUUGAUCUUAGUUGCCAGCAUUUAGUUGGGCACUCUAAGGUGACUGCCGGUGACAAACCGGAGGAAGGUGGGGAUGACGUCAAAUCAUCAUGCCCCUUAUGACCUGGGCUACACACGUGCUACAAUGGAUGGUACAAAGGGCUGCAAGACCGCGAGGUCAAGCCAAUCCCAUAAAACCAUUCUCAGUUCGGAUUGUAGGCUGCAACUCGCCUACAUGAAGCUGGAAUCGCUAGUAAUCGCGGAUCAGCAUGCC
rnacentral:rRNA from 2 species